GAAAUGCGAUAACUAGUGUGAAUUGCAGAAUUCCGUGAAUCAUCGAGUCUUUGAACGCACAUUGCGCCCCCUGGUAUUCCGGGGGCAUGCCUGUCCGAGCGUCAUUGCUGCCCAUCAAGCACGGCUUGUGUGUUGGGUCGUCGUCCCCUCUCCGGGGGGGACGGGCCCCAAAGGCAGCGGCGGCACCGCGUCCGAUCCUCGAGCGUAUGGGGCUUUGUCACCCGCUCUGUAGGCCCGGCCGGCGCUUGCCGAACGCAAAUCAAUCUUUUUCCAGGUUGACCUCGGAUCAGGUAGGGAUACCCGCUGAACUUAAGC
rnacentral:misc_RNA from 1 species